rnacentral:rRNA from 1 species
AAUAUUGCACAAUGGGGGGAACCCUGAUGCAGCCAUGCCGCGUGUGUGAAGAAGGCCUUCGGGUUGUAAAGCACUUUCAGACGUGAGGAAGGGUUGAUGGUUAAUACCCGUCAACAUUGACGUUAGCGUCAGAAGAAGCACCGGCUAACUCCGUGCCAGCAGCCGCGGUAAUACGGAGGGUGCGAGCGUUAAUCGGAAUUACUGGGCGUAAAGCGCACGCAGGCGGUUUGUUAAGCUAGAAGUGAAAGCCCCGGGCUCAACCUGGGAAGGCCUUUUAGAACUGGCAAGCUAGAGUCUUGGAGAGGGGAGUGGAGUUCCAGGUGUAGCGGUGAAAUGCGUAGAUAUCUGGAGGAACAUCAGUGGCGAAGGCGGCUCCCUGGCCAAAGACUGACGCUCAUGUGCGAAAGUGUGGGUAGCGAACAGGAUUAGAUACCCUGGUAGUCCACACCGUAAACGCUGUCUACUAGCUGUGUGUGAAUUUAAUUUGUGCGUAGCGAAGCAAACGCGCUAAGUAGACCGCCUGGGGAGUACGGCCGCAAGGUUAAAACUCAAAUGAAUUGACGGGGGCCCGCACAAGCGGUGGAGCAUGUGGUUUAAUUCGAUGCAACGCGAAGAACCUUACCUACUCUUGACAUCCCAGAGAACUUUGCAGAGAUGCGAAGGUGCCUUCGGGAAUUCUGAGACAGGUGCUUGCAUGGCUGUCGUCAGCUCGUGUC